rnacentral:misc_RNA from 1 species
GAUGAAGAACGCAGCGAAAUGCGAUAAGUAAUGUGAAUUGCAGAACUCAGUGAAUCAUCGAAUCUUUGAACGCACAUUGCGCCCGCCAGUAUUCUGGCGGGCAUGCCUGUUCGAGCGUCAUUUCAACCAUCAAGCCCCCGGCUUGUGUUGGGGACCUGCGGCUGCCGCAGGCCCUGAAAACCAGUGGCGGGCUCGCUAGUCACUCCGAGCGUAGUAGUUACAUCUCGCUCAGGGCGUGCUGCGGGUUCCGGCCGUUAAAAGCCUUAUUUACCCAAGGUUGACCUCGGAUCAGGUAGGAAGACCCGCUGAACUUAAGCAUAUCAAUAAGCGGAGGA